GUCCCUAUAGUUUAACAGGAUAAAACUGCGGCCUCCUAAGCUGCUGCUCCAGGUUCGAGUCCUGGUGGGGACACCA
rnacentral:tRNA from 1 species